rnacentral:tRNA from 1 species
GACCCAGAGGUUCAAUUCCUCUCCCUAAUAUGC